rnacentral:rRNA from 1 species
UACGUAGGGGGCUAGCGUUAUCCGGAAUUACUGGGCGUAAAGGGUGCGUAGGUGGUUUCUUAAGUCAGAGGUGAAAGGCUACGGCUCAACCGUAGUAAGCCUUUGAAACUGGGAAACUUGAGUGCGGGAGAGGAGAGUGGAAUUCCUAGUGUAGCGGUGAAAUGCGUAGAUAUUAGGAGGAACACCAGUUGCGAAGGCGGCUCUCUGGACUGUAACUGACACUGAGGCACGAAAGCGUGGGGAGCAAACAGG